AUUCACUACCAGAGUCUGCU
rnacentral:misc_RNA from 1 species